UACGAGGGGUGCAAGCGUUGCUCGGAAUUAUUGGGCGUAAAGGGUAGGUAGGUGGUCUGAUUUGUCAGGGGUGAAAGCCUUGAGCUUAACUCAAGAAGUGCCCCUGAAACGGUCAGACUCGAGUCUUGGAGAGGGUCGUGGAAUUCCCGGUGUAGCGGUGAAAUGCGUAGAGAUCGGGAGGAACACCAGAGGCGAAGGCGGCGACCUGGACAAGCACUGACACUCAACUACGAAAGCGUGGGGAGCAAAC
rnacentral:rRNA from 1 species